rnacentral:rRNA from 1 species
UACGUAGGGGGCAAGCGUUGUCCGGAAUCAUUGGGCGUAAAGCGCGUGUAGGCGGCCAGAUAAGUCCGCUGUGAAAUCUCGAGGCUCAACCUCGAGCUGUCGGUGGAAACUGUCUGGCUAGAGUCCGGAAGAGGAGAAUGGAAUUCCUGGUGUAGCGGUGAAAUGCGCAGAUAUCAGGAAGAACACCCGUGGCGAAGGCGGUUCUCUGGGACGGUACUGACGCUGAGACGCGAAAGCGUGGGGAGCGAACAGG